CGCACCGCAACUUCCUUGUAUUUUCCCUAAAAAAACUCCCUUGUCUUUCCAACGUCACUGCUCCUCCCAAUCCCGCCGCCGAUGCCCCUCCGUCCGAGCGCUCUGCUUAAUGGUGCUCGCGCUCUCCACACCCACGUUCGUGCCCUCCAAUCCGGCGCCACCUCCGGCGGCUUGACCGCGCCACCACUUCCUCCUCCCCCACGCCACCCGCCUCCUCGCCCGCCGCGCGCCGCCCUACCCCGCACCGCCGCCUCCGCCCGCUCCAGAUGUCGGCCUCCAACCACUCCGGCGCCGGCGCCAGCUCCCCCUCCACCCCCUCGCCGCCCCGGCCCUCGCGAUGAGUCUGAUGCGUCGUCCUCCUCCUCACGCGUCUGUCCGUAUGAUGUCUUACCGUGUCGGCGUCGAUGGUGUCGGAGCUGAGAUGCUGGGGCCGUACAAUAGUUGCCGUGGAUGGAUGGAACCACCUAGUGCGUUGACUUAGCAACUGGCCGAUGGGAAGGGAUGCCUGCCUUAGCAACUCCAAGCUACGAACCUGUCUCAUGGGAGCGCCUACCGAAAGCUCGCGCGCCAGGCUGCCACUGCCACACCAGCCGCCACCGCCGCAGCCCCGUCCACGUCGUCCUUGUCCUUCCCCGUCCCUGCUGUCGAUGGCGAGGAUGACAACGAGGACGUCGAUGAGUUCAACGGCUUCGACACACUGAGCGAGUACGAUGCCGGCGUGACAGAGAUCGACGAGGAGGACGAAAAGGCCCUCACUGCAUUCAUGUCCAAGGAAACCUCCUCCAAACGAUCGCUUGGUGAUAUCAUCCUCCAGAAGAUCAAAGAGAAGGACGCCACUGUCUCAACAUCUCUUAUGCAUAAUUACUGAUAUAUGAAACCUGAAAUUGUUUCUGUCGAGUGUUGGGUUCCUGUUAUGAAUGAUUCCUUACCUGGCUUUCUCCAUGGUUAAUAUGAAUUAUGCAAGGAUCAGAGGAAGGCGGGGAGCUGGCCUUCUCCAUGUCUCGGGGGAGAGUGUCUUCCUUGGAUUCAACAAGAAGGGGACCCGACCUUCUUCACAUCUUGUGCAACAAGGGUGAUCGACGCAGACUAGCACAGCCCGGUGGUGUCGUGCUCUUCAACCACUCGGAGGCGGACUUCGCCAUGAAGCCCGGAGACUACAUCGUGCAGAUGACCAUCCAGAUGAUUGUGAAUUGUGACACCGGAGGUCGCCGAGGUGGAGGACCUCGACGCCACCGUCCGGCGGGAGGGAGGGUUCGGGUCCACCGGUGGUUGAACUCCGAAUCUUGGUAGAUACAUCUAGACAAGUGGUCUGGUUGUUUGCGUCUGAUGUUAAAUGGGAUCUCGUGAACUCUUCAAGUUGAGAUGUUCAAUGUUGCGUCCAUGAACGCUGCAAGUGCUAAGAUGGUUCUGUGAUCUUAGUUUAUUUUGCACUGGACAUGUCUUGAUUUCCAUCCAUGAACACAUCA